rnacentral:rRNA from 1 species
UACGUAGGGGGCAAGCGUUGUCCGGAAUUAUUGGGCGUAAAGCGCGCGCAGGCGGCCUUGUAGGUCUGUCGUUUAAACUCGGAGCUCAACUUCGAGUCGCGAUGGAAACUGCAAAGCUUGAGUGCAGAAGAGGAAAGUGGAAUUCCACGUGUAGCGGUGAAAUGCGUAGAGAUGUGGAGGAACACCAGUGGCGAAGGCGACUUUCUGGGCUGUAACUGACGCUGAGGCGCGAAAGCGUGGGGAGCAAACAGG